rnacentral:rRNA from 1 species
CACGUAGGCGGAUAUUUAAGUCAGGGGUGAAAUCCCAGAGCUCAACUCUGGAACUGCCUUUGAUACUGGGUAUCUUGAGUAUGGAAGAGGUAAGUGGAAUUCCGAGUGUAGAGGUGAAAUUCGUAGAUAUCCGGAGGAACACCAGUGGCGAAGGCGGCUUACUGGUCCAUUACUGACGCUGAGGUGCGAAAGCGUGGGGAGCAAACA